GACGAACGCUGGCGGCGCGCUUAACACAUGCAAGUCGAACGGAAAGGCCUGCUUUCCCUUGUGGAUUGCGGGUACUCGAGUGGCGAACGGGUGAGUAACACGUGAGUGAUCUGCCCCCAACUUGGGUAUAAGCCUGGGAAACUGGGUCUAAUUCCCGAUAGGACUGCAGGGUGGUGCCUGUGGUGGAAAACGAUUUUCUAGUGGUCGGGGAUGAGCUCGCGGCCUAUCAGCUUGUUGGUGGGGUAAUGGCCUACCAAGGCGGCGACGGGUAGCCGGCCUGGGAGGGUGGACGGCCACAUUGGGACUGAGAUACGGCCCAGACUCCGACGGGAGGCAGCAGUGGGGAAUAUUGCACAAUGGGCGGAAGCCUGAUGCAGCGACGCCGCGUGGGGGAUGACGGCCUUCGGGUUGUAAACUCCUUUCGACCGCGAGGAAGCCACCUGGUUGGAAGGGUGGUGACGGUAGUGGUGGAAGAAGCACCGGCUAACUACGUG
rnacentral:rRNA from 1 species